CGAUAUCAACCAGGCUGCAAUGUGUGCGUCUUCUGUGAUGUAUGAUUGACAGAGGGUAAUACAAACAUAUGAAGCAUUGCCCGAGCAGUCCUCUGUUUUCAGCUGCAGCACUGGUUCUUUUGGCAUAGAGUGGGGUCCAGUGUCUUCCAGCUGAACUGUUUGGAACAGCUGCCUGGUCCACCAACUUGCACACAUACCAGAGGAGAACAAAUGGAGUUAUUACAUCCCUGCGCUUCAAGACCCACUAUCUGCUAAAUGUCUGUACUAAAUGUCUGUACUAAAGACAUGGCUCAAGGUUCAGACAGAGCCACCUUUUCAGAAGAGGAUGGCUCAGAAUCCCUUAUGCUACAGCUUGGUUUUGGACGAGCUCUGAUGCACCCAGAGACCAACUUAGCCCGGGAGUAUGUUCUCUCCUCUUCAGCCGCGCUGAAACUUGCCCAGAGGAACCAUAGUGGAGCACAUCGCCAUCACUGUGAGGAAAAAAGCAACAGCCAUCAAACACACAGGGCACACUCCUUCCUAUCUAAACAAUUCCCAGACUGUUACAGAUGUACAAACAGACACACACACACCUCAUACGUCAUUGGAGUGCGGUGUUUCUGUUGAGUCUGGUAUUGAGGUUGCGUGUGAUGUGCUGGUGUUGAUCAUGCUGAGCUUUUCUGUCCCAUUUCUUGGCUCCUCCCUUCGCCUUCCCCUUUGCCUACACAGUCUGUACCUACGACUGACAGAGAGACAUUAUAGACAGACAUUUUCUAAGACAGACAUUACAAAUAAUUUUAAUAUACCAUACCAAUGGCAUUAUUUGAGUUUUUCAACAAUUUUAGGUAUAAUAUGCCAUAAGUUACUUGCUUAAAUAUGCAAAUGACCACAACAAAGUAUUGUUUAUCAAUACUAGUCAAUCCACUGCUGCAACAUAUGCUGAGAUUUUCUCAAAAAAGCCAAGCUGCUCCGGCCCCCUACCAAACACAUGUAGCCAGGCUGAUGCCGACUGCAAGGUGCCGCUCCAGUCUGCAGAGUCUGGUGUUAGCAGGCUAACACACACACAUUUCACAUUCUUCAAUGCUGAGACUUGUCCAUUCAGUUUGGAAUAACGUUUUGAUAGUGAAUUAAUCACAUCCAUGGUAUCUAAUGUGCGGCUAUUACAUUUGUUGUUCAGAGCAAUAUUUGGCCAUACUGGUAGCCAAAAAUUGCUAACAUUACUGUUUUUUCUUUUUCUCUAAUCCUGCAGUAUGUGUUGCUGGUUAUAGAGCAUUACCACUUGUCAUGACAUAUAUAGUACGUUGCCUAAAAUAUGUUUAUCUUGUUUCCUAUGACUGUUGCUUAACCUUAUAGAUUCUGUAGCUCCUUGAACAUUUCUAACCUUAUAUGUUCAGUUUACUUGUGUUCUAGUGCAUAAAUAUUCCCUGUAACACUAAUAAAAGAAAUACUGUUCAA